rnacentral:rRNA from 1 species
GGAGGGAGCGAGCGUUAAUCGGAAUUACUGGGCGUAAAGCGCGCGUAGGCGGCUUUGUAAGUCGGAUGUGAAAUCCCUGGGCUUAACCUGGGAACUGCAUUCGAUACUGCAUGGCUAGAGUAUGGUAGAGGGAAGUGGAAUUUCCGGUGUAGCGGUGAAAUGCGUAGAUAUCGGAAGGAACACCAGUGGCGAAGGCGACUUCCUGGGCCAAUACUGACGCUGAGGUGCGAAAGCGUGGGGAGCAAACAGGGAUUAGAUACCCUGGUAGUCCACGCCGUAAACGAUGAGAACUAGAUGUUGGGAGGGUUGCCUCUCGGUGUCGCAGCUAACGCGUUAAGUUCUCCGCCUGGGGAGUACGCCGGCAACGGUA